AUUCCCUUCAGUUCUCUAUCUGUAAACGGGGCUGUGUUAUUUGAAGGAGCUGCUUUCCUGCCUCCAAGCUUUCUCUUCCCCUGUAGCAGGGUUUCCUUUACAGUUUUCGCACCGUGAAAGUUGAGUUUCUAUAGGCUGGGUCCAGAAGAAAGAUAUCUACAGCAAGAUGUGGCACUCUGGCAAGUCUGCAGGGAGUGCCAUGUUACCUAUGCUUGGCUUAAGGAAUCAGGGGAGCCAGGGUUAUGAUAUGCUUCCCAAUGAUACAAGCACCCUAGAGUAGGCAAGUGUUGUUACUGAGGAAUGCAAGCUGUGCAGCACCACCAGUUGUUCGUUCCUGCCCUUUACAGCCACCACCAACAAUUUAUGAGGCCCCUCAGAUGUAAGGGAAAAAAAAUGCAAUGUAUUAAAAUGCCAUGACUUUGUACUUUUGCAUAAUGCCAUAAAUCUUCCUUUAUAAUGUACUUAAUGCAAAUAAUAUUACAAAAUAAUGUGCAUUAUGCACAUUUCUUAGGCUGUAAACGACUCAGGACACAAAAUUAGCCCAUUCAAUUAUAGAGAAGCUUUCAAACAAGAAGCUAAUAUGGGGCGCCUAUUCCUUCCCCACUGCUUUGAACAGCACGUGUUUCAGAGUGUUAUUAAUUCAGCCACGCUGCGAACUGUGUAAGUCUCUUUCCUUUUUAGAUUUCACACACGGAACACAUUUCCCCACAUUUACUGUCCAUAUUUUCAUGGUAACUACCCUGUUUCCUGUGUUUUCUUUGACUGGAGCCGACCACACUAAAUGUGUGGCAGACAAAUGCAGAGCAGGUACAUCACAGCUAAAAGCAAGCAGACGGUAGUCUUUCAUAUGUCAUAGAAUGGUUGCCGUUCCUGGUGUUAUUCAUAAAGGAAAGUGGCCCCUUCUUUGGAGACAGUACUGGUUGACUGCAGUCCGAAACCUGUAAGGACAUUUUUUUCCUGCGUGGAACAACAGGCGAAAUCAUGGAACAACUGAACCAUAUAAUCAGAUUUAGUGCCUUUGCAAUAACCAGUCAAAAUUCCAUUAUUAUGUGUGGAUUAAGUUUAGCGUCCAGAGAUACAAACCAAGCAAGAAUAGUCUCAUUAUGGGUGGAGUGAGUGUCUGCUACUUAGAUCCACUCCCUGGUAUAUCAGCAUUUUCAGUAGUCUUGUAACAAAAAUCAAGAACAUAAAUAAUGAAAUACCAACUCAAUAAACUUGGUAACCUCU